CAGCUGCACCAUCGACUCACUUGCUCCUCACCUGGGAAUGGGUGUGUUGCUUGUAUUGCCUUUUUACCUGCAGGUGUACUGCAGAAAACAGACCAGCAGUCAAACUGGAAACUGGAUCAGGCAGUGAUUUGCUGCAGGAAGAGAGGUUGUCAGUCUGGAUUUCCUUAAAAUCUGUAUUUCCUUUCUGGAUUAUCCUGCUUCCAAGUGUUAGAGAUAUGUGCUCCUGUGCUGGCUGGGACUAAGAUCUUCGUCCUUUAAAGAGGCUGCACUGGAAGGACCACAAACUAGUUACAGCUCCUGUUGCUUAAACUGAACUGUAAAUAUCUGCAGUGAGAUUUUUGCAGCUUGAAGGAAAGAAACAAAACUGCAAUUUGAGGAAUUUCAAGAUGUUCUUACCCUAAUUCUUCUUCCAUGUGAAAGAGAUCAUACUAAGGCUCAAGGAACAGGCUCAGAAACAAACACAAACAAGUCACAUCUGGACACAAAUUCCCAAGUCUGCUGGUCCUGAUGAGGUCUGACCUCAAAUGGGCUCCCUUCUGUGUGGCUCCUCCCUUUUUUCUCUCCUAUAUGAAGCCAACAAAAGCACAUCAACCAUGACCUUAUGUGGACAAGCAGGGAAGUCCUUGACUUUCUGAAGGAAAAGGAAAACAGAUCUUUGAGAGGACUUCCAUUGUUCAUCUGUCUUUACAACAUUGGAGAAGAAUAGUUAUUCUUUCUACUGAACCUGACAGAAAGAGUUUUGCUGGAGGCUACUUAAGACUCUGGAGACUUCUGGCUAGAAGCACAAACAGAUUUUCCAGGCCUGAAGCAGCAGAUGUGGACAAGCAAGACACUGCAUCCCCUGCUGACUGAGAACAUGGAGCCAUGAAUGUCCUGGAGCAGAACUCACAGUAUUUCUGAACCAUCUCUCUGGAUGAUGAAAUCUGGUGGAGCAAAACCCAAUAAGAACUGAGCUUAACUUUGUAGUGAGGAUGUAACUUUAAGCAGGACAAAACUGCAUGUACCUAUUAGAAAUGAAAUAGACAAUUUAGAUAAUUUCUUUGAAGAGUAGUACUUCUUUUUAAUGUUAAGUCUGAGCUACUGGUUGAUGACAGUCCAAAUGUCCCAGGUAUAAUCUUUCAGCAGAAGUUGUGUGACUACAUAAAGUUGAGAAACCUUGCUGAGAGCAUAUCUGCAUUAAAAUAAUUGC